UCCGUAGGUGAACCUGCGGAAGGAUCAUUAGUGAAUAUUAGGGCGUCUUUUCGAAGAGCCUGACCUCCACUUCUAACACUGUGCACUUGAUGGCUUAUUGAGAUGGAUAAGAACAAAAGUUUUUUGAAGUCUUGAUUUGCGGCUUUCAUUUUAAACAUUAGUACAAGUAUGUAACAAAAUAUUGAAACAAAAAAAAACUUUCAACAACGGAUCUCUUGGCUCUCGCAUCGAUGAAGAACGCAGCGAAAUGUGAUAAGUAAUGUGAAUUGCAGAAUUCAGUGAAUCAUCGAAUCUUUGAACGCACCUUGCGCUCCCUGGUAUUCCGGGGAGCAUGCCUGUUUGAGUGUCAUGAACUCUUCAACUCACCAGUUUCUAGUAGACUGCUGUGAUGUUUGGAUUUUGAGCGUUGCUAGUCUGACUAGCUCGUUUGUAAUGUAUUAGCAAAUCUAAUUCAAAUUCGGAUUGACUCAGUGUAAUAGACUAUUCGCUGAGGACACUUUUACUAGUGGCCGUAUGAGAACCUGUAGAUGCUUCAAGCCCUAGUAGUCACUUUGAUUUAGACCUCAGAUCAGGCAGGAUUACCCGCUGAACUUAAGCAUAUCAAUAAGCGGAGGA
rnacentral:rRNA from 1 species